UUUCCGCAAUGGGCGAAAGCCUGACGGAGCAACGCCGCGUGAGGGAUGAAGGCCUCUGGGCUGUAAACCUCUUUUCUCAAGGAAGAAGAUCUGACGGUACUUGAGGAAUAAGCCACGGCUAAUUCCGUGCCAGCAGCCGCGGUAAUACGGGAGUGGCAAGCGUUAUCCGGAAUUAUUGGGCGUAAAGCGUCCGCAGGCGGCCUUGUAAGUCUGUCGUUAAAGCGUGGAGCUUAACUCCAUUUCAGCGAUGGAAACUACAAGGCUUGAGUGUGGUAGGGGCAGAGGGAAUUCCCGGUGUAGCGGUGAAAUGCGUAGAUAUCGGGAAGAACACCAGUGGCGAAGGCGCUCUGCUGGGCCAUAACUGACGCUCAUGGACGAAAGCCAGGGGAGCGAAAGGGAUUAGAUACCCC
rnacentral:rRNA from 1 species